rnacentral:misc_RNA from 1 species
AAAAGCUUGAUAUUUAUAGCACCUAAGCGGCAACGGCGAACAUGGACGAGUCCGGUGAAAGUUGGAUUGCGAUCGUCUCAGAAAGUUUAGGAGCUCCUGUCGCUGGUUUGACGCUUAUAGUAUCACUAUUCGCUGCAUAUCCUUUGGUGUUGGUUCACCGUACAUAUCUACAUGGGAAGUCUCCGCCUCUGCAGCACAUAUAUUUCAUUGUAACCGGUUUCAGCAUUGAAUACUACAACUUCGGCAAUCACGUGAUUCACUCAUUUAUUUGCAUUGCUGUUGUCUAUGCAAUUUUAUACAUCUGGGGUGGAACUGCAAUUGGUGUAGCUGCAACAUUCGUUUUUGCAUUUCCUUACUUGUUUAUCUCUUAUUUGAUAUUUUCCACUGAUGAAUAUGACAUCAAUUGGACGACACCCCACUGUGUCCUCACACUCAGGUUAAUAGCACUAGCAUUUGACCUGAAAGAUGGCCAGAAGCCUGACAAGGAUCGCAGCAGUGAUCAGAAGCUGGCUGCCCUCGAGAAAUUACCUUCCCUUUUGGAGUUAUUGGGCAACUGCUUCUUCGUUGGUGGCUGCAUGAUUGGUCCCCAGUAUAGCACAAAGCGAUAUCUCGAUUUCGUUUCCGGCGAAUUUGCAGAUAAGAAUGGAAGCCCGCCAAAAAGUGUCAAUGCGGCGAUGAAGAGAGCGGCUCAGGGGCUGCUCUUUAUCACCAUCUACCAGACGGCCAUGCCUUAUUUUCCGGACGAGAAGCUGCUCAAUGGAGAACUUCUCCAAACCUCGUUCUGGUGGAGACUGCUAUAUAUUGGCCUCUGGGGCAAGGUACAAAUCUACAAGUACAUCGCAUCCUGGGUGAUAAGUGAAGGGUCAUGCAUCCUCGCAGGUAUGACUUACAACGGCAAAGACGAACAAGGCCACGACAAGUGGGAUGGGUGUAAGAACGUUUCUAUUCGACAGUAUGAACUGCGUACAAGCUUUCAGGGCAUAAUCGACUCGUUCAACAUCAACACAAACAAGUGGGCGCUAUGCUAUGUGUACAAGCGACUGAGGUUUGCUGGAAACAAGCUCAUAUCGCAGUCAGUGACGCUGCUGUUUCUAGCAGCGUGGCAUGGACACUACACAGGUUACUACCAUGCGUUUAUGCUCGAAUUCUUCGUCAUGUACUGUGAAAAUAGGUUCGUAGUGCUUGUGACGAGAAAUGCUACAUUGAACAAAAUAUUUUAUAAGACGCCAGCAUUGCAACCAUUUGUGGUGGCUUUCUGUUUCCUGUGGGCCCAUUUGUUGACAGGAUAUACCUUCUUGUCAUUCGGUCUUCUGACUUGGACUCGAUCCGUAGCAGCAUUCCGGCUGUUGUACUACAUUCCACACAUAGUGUGGUUUGGGUGGCCUCUGUAUUCUAUCUUGCUUUUUGCAAUCUUCCCUCCGACCAAAAAGGAAAAAGAGACUGGUGCGACGCAAAAGGUCGAUCCAAGGACUGUUCCAGAAGAAAGCAACACAAAGAAGGAGCAGUAAAAGUUCUCGUACUUCAAAAAGCUGGUUCCCUACGCUGCUGAAAUAAAAACAAAAUAUCAAUGGUGAAAUGUUUGUUUGCAUCACUUGAACUGCCAAUUUGUGCAGUUGACUGUAGCACAGGAUGGCAUUUUAUCGUCAGAACUCUACAUUCAUCACUAUAAAUGAUACUACUUCUGGUAGAGGUAUCAUGGCGCCCCCAACCUGAUGAUAUCCAAUGGUUUCACCUAGCAGUUGCUUAGCAAAAUACACGCAGUAAAAGUGAUUAUUGUUUGUAUUAUGUUUCAUAUCCACAAUUAUGAAUGCGCGAUUUAUUGGUGAUUGUUAUACAGUCAUUUAAUCGGCCUUCAUUUUGUUUGUUGUUUAAUAGUAAACCUAGACUGAUGGCUAUACAUUGCAAACUUUGAAAUUAUAAUUGUUAGGAGAGUGAUGUAGCAUCUAUUUGGGAGGGGGGACUAACUGUACUUAUGUUGCCCUUCAUUCAUACUAAAGGAAGCAGGAGUGAAGGGAUACAUGAGUGUAACUAUUUUUUAGGAUGCUGUGUACGUUUAGUUAUUGAUUAAGAAAUAAGAAUAUUUGUUUGGCAGAUUGUCAUCCAGGUGGUUGUCUACAGGGGGAGACAGAGGCAAUGAUAGCCCUGUAACUGGCACUCGACGUGUGUGAAGUAUAUGGUAGUCGACCAUCGUAUGCUGUAUUUUUCUAAGAACUGUAAACACAGCCAUUUUAUUACAUCACUAUUUUAAUCGACAAUCUGUAGCGUUUUGAAAGAGAUACCGCACGAGUAUUAAUCCAGCGUUUAGAACACCCUCGCUACUGAGGGUGAAAAUGCAUGGAAAAAUUCACGAUGGUGCAAAGGUUAAGUAAGCAGUGACAUCCUGAAGCUUACGAGAACGUCUGUGACGUGCAAUUGUCAGUAUAGAUGCACAAUCUUCGUUUUAUCGCAUGGAUUACAGGUUGACAAGUUUAUGGGAUUGUGUACGCAUUAAAUACACUUUUAUUGGAUACGUGUAAUCUUAA